GCCAGUAUGGCAUAGUGGUUUGAGUGCUGCAUUGCAACUCUGGAGAUCAGAGUUCGAUUCUCAGCUCAGCCA